rnacentral:rRNA from 1 species
GACGAACGCUGGCGGCGUGCUUAACACACGCAAGUCGAACGGAAAGGCCUGCUUUCCCUUGUGGUUUGCGGGUACUCGAGUGGCGAACGGGUGGGUAACACGUGAGUGAUCUGCCCCCAACUUGGGUAUAAGCCUGGGAAACUGGGUCUAAUUCCCGAUAGGACUGCAGGGUGGUGCCUGUGGUGGAAAACGAUUUUCUAGUGGUUGGGGAUGAGCUGGCGGCCUAUCAGCUUGUUGGGGGGGUAAUGGCCUACCAAGGCGGCGACGGGUAGCCGGCCUGGGAGGGGGGACGGCGACAUUGGGACUGAGAUACGGCCCAGACUCCUACGGGAGGCAGCAGUGGGGAAUAUUGCACAAUGGGCGGAAGCCUGAUGCAGCGACGCCGCGUGGGGGAUGACGGCCUUCGGGUGGUAAACUCCUUUCGACCGCGAGGAAGCCACCUGGUUGGAAGGGUGGUGACGGUAGUGGUAGAAGAAGCACCGGCUAACUACGUG